CAAACACACAUCGAGCAAUGUGUAGCAUUUGAUUCUGGCUCAGUAUUCGAGUUGACUCUUUUUAGUCUACGCCAUUUUUUUCGCUUCAAAACUUUUAAAGUGAUGGCAAAGACUUUGGGCAAGACUGUACACUAAAUAUAUUUACAUUUAAAAAAGGCCUAAACAAAAAAGAUCUAAUUUAAAACAAACAAAAAAAUAAUACAACAA